CUGGAAGGCUGGCUGCAGGUCUAACACAGCGAAGUCAAGCGUAUGAAGUUAUCUUGCUCCUUGAGUCAGCAGCGGACGUGUGUGUAAUGCCUAGGAAUCUGCCUAGUACUUGGGGAUAACGUCCGGAAACGGGCGCUAAUACCGCAUACGUCCUGUGGGAGAAAGUGGGGGAUCUUCGGACCUCACGCUAUCAGAUGAGCCUAGGUCGGAUUAGCUAGUUGGUGCGGUAAAGGCCUACCAAGGCGACGAUCCGUAACUGGUCUGAGAGGAUGACCAGUCACACUGGAACUGAGACACGGUCCAGACUCCUACGGGAGGCAGCAGUGGGGAAUAUUGGACAAUGGGCGAAAGCCUGAUCCAGCCAUGCCGCGUGUGUGAAGAAGGUCUUCGGAUUGUAAAGCCCUUUAAGUUGGGAGGAAGGGCAGUAAGUUAAUACCUUGCUGUUUUGACGUUACCAACAGAAUAAGCACCGGCUAACUUCGUG
rnacentral:rRNA from 1 species